rnacentral:rRNA from 1 species
CAGCAGCCGCGGGAAUACGAAGGGGGCUAGCGUUGUUCGGAAUUACUGGGCGUAAAGCGCACGUAGGCGGAUCGAUCAGUCAGGGGUGAAAUCCCAGGGCUCAACCCUGGAACUGCCUUUGAUACUGUCGAUCUGGAGUAUGGAAGAGGUGAGUGGAAUUCCGAGUGUAGAGGUGAAAUUCGUAGAUAUUCGGAGGAACACCAGUGGCGAAGGCGGCUAACUGGUCCAUAACUGACGCUGAGGUGCGAAAGCGUGGGGAGCAAACAGGAUUAGAUACCCCAGUAGUCCCUGUCUCUUAUAC